rnacentral:rRNA from 1 species
UUGACCUCGAAUCAGGUAUGGAUACCCGCUGAACUUAAGCAUAUCAAUAAGCGGAGGAAAAGAAACCAACCGGGAUUACCUCAGUAACGGCGAGUGAAGCGGCAA